AUACGGAGGGAGCAAGCGUUAUUCGGAAUCACUGGGCGUAAAGGACGCGUAGGCGGGUUAUUAAGUCGGGUGUGAAAUCCAAUGGCUCAACCAUUGAACUGCAUUCGAAACUGAUAACCUAGAGUAUGGAAGGGGCAGGUGGAAUUAGUGGUGUAGGGGUAAAAUCCGUAGAUAUCACUAGGAAUACCGAAAGCGAAGGCGACCUGCUGGGACAUUACUGACGCUGAGGCGUGAAAGCGUGGGGAGCAAACAGGAUUAGAAACCCCAGUAGUCC
rnacentral:rRNA from 1 species